UACACAUUACUGCUUCGAGGCAGAAAUAGGCGCCGUUGUGCCCAUAAUCUAGCCGGCAUCCGGUGCAAAGGAGCCACUGUUCACGUUGAAAUUAAUGAAUGGAACAAUAAGUAGCUACAUAAAUUAUUAUUCACGUGGUUAUUGAUUAGAGUCAAAUCGGUGCAGUGUAAUAUCACAUUUCCAGCCAUUUAAAGGUUUGAUGACGUUGCUAGGUGGCAAUCAGUAACGUGUGAUUGAGCUGACGAUCAUAAAACUGUAAGUAUUCCUCUUUACAAUGGCCACCAAAAUGCCUACCGAAUCUAAAUCUCGUGAUAAAUCUCCUAUUUUGCUAAGUGUAGAUAGUAGUGAGUUAGUGCGUGAUUUGGUUAGGAAACGUGCUAUUAUAAAGGGCAGGCUUACCAAAUUUAGUAAUUAUUUAGAAUCUAUAGCGAAGUGUGAAGAUUUUUCUAAUCAAAAACGCAUUGAUUUAAAGUUGAGAAUUCAAGGAUGUACUACUUUAUUUUCUGAAUUUAACGAUAUUCAAACUACAAUAGAAGAAAAGGUGUCUGAUACCGAGUUAACCGAACAGUUAAAUCAACGUGAACUUUUUGAAGACACUUAUUAUUCUCUAAUAUCUCAUGCUGAAUUUUUGCUUAAAAUUGAUAAUGAUGCUGACUGCUGUAAUUCAUGCCAUAAAGGUACUAGUCACAUUAAUUCCGUUAAGUUGCCUAUUAUAUCGAUGCCUACCUUUGACGGAUCUUAUGAGC